CGUGUAGGCGGGGACAUAAGUCAGAUGUGAAAUACCGAGGCUUAACUUCGGGGCUGCAUCUGAAACUAUGUUUCUUGAGUGUCGGAGAGGAAAGUGGAAUUCCCAGUGUAGCGGUGAAAUGCGUAGAUAUUGGGAGGAACACCAGUGGCGAAGGCGACUUUCUGGACGAUAACUGACGCUGAGGCGCGAAAGCGUGGGGAGCAAACAGGAUUAGAUACCCUGGUAGUCCACGCUGUAAACGAUGGAUACUAGGUGUAGGAGGUAUCGACCCCUUCUGUGCCGGAGUUAACACAAUAAGUAUCCCACCUGGGGAGUACGGCCGCAAGGUCGAAA
rnacentral:rRNA from 1 species